CUCACAGGCUGCAGCUUUAGAUAUUGCCAUGAUUAAAAUGGUGACCCCGUCCAUGGCCUACCGAGUGAUUGACCGUGCUAUUCAGGCCUUCGGAGCAGCAGGGCUGAGCAGUGACUACCCGCUGGCCCAGUUCUUCGCCUGGGCCAGAGCACUGCGCUUUGCCGACGGCCCUGAUGAGGUGCACCGGGCAGCGGUGGCCAAGAUGGAGUUGAAGCGCCACGUUUAGAGCAGCAGAACUGGGAGCCAGAGUGCCCUGCCAGGCCCAACACGCUACACGAUGCGCUUUGGAAGGCCUAGUGUGUGUGAUUCUUCACCCUGCCGGCAGCUCUAUCCUGGGACAAUCACUGUGCACACGGCCUUUCUGGGUCCCCACAGAAGACAUUUCUGUGAGAAGCCUUGCAUUUGCUGUUUCAGGCAAGGAGGAAGGGGAGCAGCUGAGAGCUGAGAGGGUUUCAGGACAGAGCCUAGAGAGCUGGUCCUCAGUCUCAGUGCCCUGGUGGGCAGCCCAUGCCCCUCUCCCUCUGGCUAUGAAACCUGAACAAGUAUUGGCAGCCCUGCUAGGUGGCGUGCCUGUGCUUGCUCCCAAUGUGGGAGCUUCCUGCUCUGUGGGGCCUCCCCAGCAAGCAAAGGGGCUGCAUCUAAAGACCUAGGCCAAGUGCUCUUGGGAAAAUGAAACCAGAAUCAUGAAGCCACUGCCAUCGAUUUUCUUUGUUUGAACGUCCACGACACAGAACACUAAUUAAGAUGUUAUUUUGGAAAGGGGCUUUGGGAACACAAAAGACUAAGAAAAUACACCUCAGAGACUUCGGGAAUGUCUCUGUCAUACAGGAGGCAUUCAGAAUAAAGGUCCACUCUUCAGUC